rnacentral:rRNA from 1 species
GAUCCUGCUCAGGAUGAACGCUAGCUACAGGCUUAACACAUGCAAGUCGAGGGGCAGCAUUUCAGUUUGCUUGCAAACUGGAGAUGGCGACCGGCGCACGGGUGAGUAACACGUAUCCAACCUGCCGAUAACUCGGGGAUAGCCUUUCGAAAGAAAGAUUAAUACCCGAUAGUAUAAUUAGACCGCAUGGUCUUAUUAUUAAAGAAUUUCGGUUAUCGAUGGGGAUGCGUUCCAUUAGGCAGUUGG